rnacentral:rRNA from 1 species
GGGUAUAGACCCGAAACCCGGUGAUCUAGCCAUGGGCAGGUUGAAGGUUGGGUAACACUAACUGGAGGACCGAACCGACUAAUGUUGAAAAAUUAGCGGAUGACUUGUGGCUGGGGGUGAAAGGCCAAUCAAACCGGGAGAUAGCUGGUUCUCCCCGAAAGCUAUUUAGGUAGCGCCUCGUGAAUUCAUCUCCGGGGGUAGAGCACUGUUUCGGCAAGGGGGUCAUCCCGACUUACCAACCCGAUGCAAACUGCGAAUACCGGAGAAUGUUAUCACGGGAGACACACGGCGGGUGCUAACGUCCGUCGUGAAGAGGGAAACAACCCAGACCGCCAGCUAAGGUCCCAAAGUCAUGGUUAAGUGGGAAACGAUGUGGGAAGGCCCAGACAGCCAGGAUGUUGGCUUAGAAGCAGCCAUCAUUUAAAGAAAGCGUAAUAGCUCACUGGUCGAGUCGGCCUGCGCGGAAGAUGUAACGGGGCUAAACCAUGCAC